rnacentral:lncRNA from 1 species
UCUUCUCUUGCUGUACAGAGGCACCCACCUCCCCAUUUCCUCCAAGAGUGAUCAUGUGUCAUGAAGUUGCAUCACUCCCAGGGAGUCUGUUGCCAUAGUUUCAUUGUUUUCAUCAUAAUGGUGGCAGGAGCCCCUUCAGUUACUUGGCCAGUUGUAGGCAGCUGCAAUUAUUUUAAAAUGGGGGGGAAAAGCAAGAGGAGACGGGCAUCCCUUGGACUACCCCAUAUGGAAUCCACAAUGUUACCAGGGGAUUUGGCACAUUUCCAGGCAGGAACUCAAUCCAAUCAGCACAUUUGGCAGAUCUGCAUAUUUACAGCUCUAUGAAACAGUUUCAUUCAGGUCAGUGACCUAUUGGCCUCUGAAAAAUGAAAAGGUCUUCUAACAUUUAUUCCUGUCUGCCAAAAAACCCCAUAUCUUUCAUUGCUAUCAUCUGCACCAAUGUUAUAAUCUGUUCUCAACUCUUUUUACACUGUGGCAUUUUUUUAUUUUUUUAUUUACAGUUCAGGCUAAUUUUUUAAUGUUAUUACUUUCAAAUUUGGAAAGCUGAAACAUGUAAUUAAGACAGCAUCAUUCUGAAAUGCCGCUUCCUGUUCAUUAUAUGUGCAGCUGCAAAUUUGAUGAAUGUCAAGGAAAUAUGCCAUCUGAAAGAUCGGUGCUGGAAUUUAGAGAAAUACAUAAAAUAGCAAUCCUCAAGGUUUUCAAGUGGGAUUUUUUGUGAUUUUGUGUUUGGGACUGUCAGCAAUGGAACUAACCUUAGAGCAGUAGCAAAGCAGAGGAGCUGACUAUUGAAAGCACCUGAUUGGGAAAAUAGGGGAGAAUGCUGAACAUGAGCCCAGGCCACAGAUUUCUAGAAUAAGUGAACAAAGUUGUAGUAGUUGUAGUUCAUAUGGUCAGUUGUGAUACUCAUCUAAUAGACAGGUGUGGCUAUAAACCAGUGUAUUCAGGAUGCAUGCAGCACAUAUAUGUAAAUACCUACAAACACCUUUUUUCCAACUUGGAAAAUAUCACAGUAAUCAAGCCUACACACUAUGGACUAUGCAUUCAUCAGCUGCCAUACAAUAUGAUCUUACAUAAGCAUGGGGCACUUGCUCCAGUCUUGCAAAAAUAAUUUCUGCCCAGCUAAAUAUGUGAAGCAGUCUUAAGGUGUAUCAGUUAUAAACUGCCCAACUCCACAGAAUGAUUUCCCAAGAACCAUAAUUUCAAUAAUGGGAAUAUUUAUCUAGAUUUUUUCCCCUUCCCGAUAAUAGUCUCUGACAUUUCCCAUACACUAUUGCUCAUAUCUCCCUGUUCUUGCACAGUUUGACUGUGUUAACAGGGGGAUUUUGAGUAUGGAGGAAACUAUACGUAUAAGCUCUUUUGACAACUGUCUCCUUGCUGCCAGGGUUGUUUCUGGAAGACUGCACUCAAGAAUUAUCAAUGCAUAAAGCAGAGCAAAUUAAAAUGAUUAGAAGAAAGACCUGACAUUGAUCAGCUGGGAGGAUGUACAGUAAUUGGUGGUGGUGAGUUAGAAUGAAAGAAGAAAGAUUCAAACAAUUAGAGAGAUUGAAUAUAUUGUGCUGCCAAAGUUGGGGGGAGGGGAACAACUCCAAACAGAAGGAACUGCAUUUAUCAGUACCAAAUGCAUGGUGAGAUCUAUGAAAGCUAAGACUGCUAGAGACAGAUUCAGGCUCUAGUGAGUCAUCAUGAAAGAAAGAAAGGAAAUAAUAGAGAUAGACACUAAGGAUGACCAGUGGUGCUAGAAGUGCACUGAGUUCUGCAAGAUUUUGAAGCAGGGAAAUCAAGCAUAAAAACCACCCUGAGAUCUAUGAAUGGAGGGUGGUAUUAAAAAAUAAAUAAAUAAAUAAAUAAAUAAACAAACACAAAAAUGAAUAACAGGCAAAUGCAAUGUUUCCUCCCCACCCCACUUCAAAGUCUCUUUUAUUUAAAGAGAAAAUGUAUUUUAUGCAUCACUAAUGGUUUUCCCAGUAGUGAUGUAUGGAAGUGAGAGCUGGACCAUAAAGAAGGCUAAUCGCCAAAGAAUUGAUGCUUUUGAAUUAUGGUGCUGGAAGAGACUCUUGAGAGUCCCAUGGACUGCAAGAAGAUCAAACCUCUCCAUUCUUAAGGGAAUCAGCCCUGAGUGCUCACUGGAAGGACAGAUCGUGAAGCUGAGGCUCCAAUACUUUGGCCACCUCAUGAGAAGAAGACUCCCUGGAAAAGACCCUGAUGUUGGGAAAGAUGGAGGGCACAAGGAGAAGGGGACGACAGAGGACGAGAUGGUUGGACAGUGUUCUCGAAGCUACCAGCAUGAGUUUGACCAAACUGUGGGAGGCAGUGGAAGACAGAAGUGCCUGGUGUGCUCUGGUCCAUGGGGUCAUGAAGAGUCGAACACGACUAAACGACUAAACAACAACAACAACAAAAGCUGAAAAGAAGUCAAAAUUCAUUUUAGAUCAGGACAGGACUGUGAAUAUAGUUACCAGUUGCAAAGACAGCAACAAACAAAGAACAACACAAAGUGCUCCUGCACCUCCAAUAGUUGUGUAGAAGAUGGAAUUUCAGACCCUGGAUGGAAUUCUAAUGAAAUUAUUAGAGAAAUUAUUUUUUUUUGCACCUGGCCACCAUAGUGAAGAACGAUAGAUGGGACCAAAUAUAGUCCUUGGUAAAUAGCGUCUAAACAAGAAAACCCCUAGCAUUCAACUAAUAAUGGCCCAAGUUGCUGACCCUCUGUUAUUUUUAGAGGGAUUUUGCCCCUGAGAUCUUUUGCAGAAUUUACUCCAAAUAUUCUCCACCAUUCCCCACCCCGCCUCCCUACAGUGCCUGGAUUCCAACAUCUGGAGCCUGGAAAAUGUUGGUCAGACUACCAGCUCUGAUGCUGCUUAUGGAAAAAGGAAGAAGUUGUCUGAUUGUGACCACUAAUGGUGAGCCCCACCCACAAGAAACUGUGGGAUGAAACUGUUGAACAAUUCCUUCCUCCCUUGGAGAAAUUGGUGCUCUUCCGGUCUACCUCCUCAACUGAGGUUGAAAACAGUUUUCACUCUGUCAGUAUCACUUGGGACUCAAGCCAGGAGUCUCCUGAUCUGUGUACUGCUACACUUCAUGAUGAGUCAAAUGUCUAUGGAGCAGGUGAGAACAUUAUUGUCCAAAUAGGCCACUGUGUGGUUCUCCACCCUGCUCUCAGUCUGCCUCUGGAAGAAGCUGAUUUAAUCUCCUCCUUACCUGGGUAUGAAUAAUUCUAGUUCAGGUAGAAGAUGCUACAGCCUUGUGUGGUUCCUAAAGUCUCUUUCUGGAUGUGUCUUUUUGUCAUCCUGCCUGCCUGCCUUUUUAUCUUCUAGUUUCUGCCUCACAACCAUGAUUCUGACUUCCUUGUCCAUCUAUCUGCCUCCCUUUUAAAUUCUUGUUCAAUUCUUCUUUAGAUGGACCUCUUGGUUUGGAUACUGGCCUUUGAUUGACUCUGCCUCCACAGACUGAUCCAUCACCCCUAUUCUGCACUUAUGGGACCAUGCUUCCUAAAAUCCUAUGUUCCCAGGCCUUUCUAUGGGAUGUGUCCCAGUGCUCCCUUCCAAUUCUGACAUACAUUUAUGUGUAUCGUGCAGCCAUGAGAAGAAGCUCCUGUGAACAUCUGAAAGAGAUAAAUACAAGGCUCUGUGCUUAUACUGGAGCCACAAACACACAGGGAUGAAAUCCCCUUCGCUGCUCGAGCAAGUUAAGGAGGUGAUGAUUAGGUGGGCUUUGGAUAUAGGGGAAAUUAUUAAUUUAUCAGCAUGGGAGGAAUUAUGGGAAAAGAAUUGGAAAUUUACAGCCUGUGAAACAUUAAGAGAAAAUCUAAGCAAUAUCUUUUAUAGAUAGUAUUUAACACCGGCCGAAAUAGCUAAAUGUAUAAAACGAAAACAAAUUUGUGUUGGAGGUGUAAGAAUGCAGAGGGGUCACUCAUACAUAUUUGGUGGACCUGUGAUAAAAUCGAAAGUUUCUGGGAUAUAGUGUAUGAUGAAUUUUUUUAAAAAAAUUAAAUACAACUUUGUGAAAAAUACAGAAGCUUUCCUACUAGGGAUAACAGAUAAAGAUAUACAUAUAGCAAAAGAAAAUCAAAAAGUAUUUCUCUAUGCCACAGGUGUGGCAAGGAACUUAAUUGUCAGAAAUUGGAAGAAAGAAAUCACGCCAACAAAAAAGGAAUGGCAGGAUAAACUAUUAGAUUAUAUUGAAUUGGCCAGACUAACAGAGGCAAUCAGGGGCCACCCCAGACAAGAAUUUCAAAAACGGGGAUAAUGUAGAGAAUAUUUUAUCAAGCAGUGCCCCCAAAUAACCACCUGGACUUGUUUCGAUUAGUUCCUACAGGAGGAUUUAUGGUUCUUAAGUUACAAUUUAAAAUAGCCAGUAAUAAUUAUCUAUACCGGAAACAGUUUAUAAGAAGUAAAUAAGGAAGCCGUGUACAGGAUAAAGGAAGUCUUUCAUUUCUUUGUUAUGUUUUUUCUUUGUUGUAAGUGUAUUGUUGUUAAGUUUGUUUCGUUUUAGAUGUUAUGGUGGUAAUUUAUUUGUUUUCGUUGUUGUAGUGAAUUUGUGUUGUAAAUAACUUCAAUAAAAUUUAUUUUUUUAAAAAAGAAAAGAAAACCCCUUCCCUAACUGCCCAGGAGAAAGUACAACGUGAAAGAAAUGACAGGUGUACUUGAACGGUCUCCCUUUGGUUGGCAGGUGACAGACUGUGCCUUGAAGGCCCUGUUUUUACACAGAGUGCAGCAGUUUCAGGCUGCAAUUCAUCAAAAUUGACCCGUUAAGGAAGGAACUGUAAGAAAUACUUAGCAAUACUAGUAAGGUUAAUUGUGGCAGCCAGCACUUAUUAGGCUCAAGUGUGUUGCCGAAAUGCCACUCAUACAGGUGCAGGCUUGACUGACACCAUUUGUGAAAUAAUGGGGAGCAAGAGGGGUAAUCAGGUCUUACACGUAGGAUAAAUCGGCCGUUUAGUAGCAAACCCCCUGAGAAACACAGUUUCACCUGACCUGUAUUUGCAAUCCAGUCUGCACUACAAAGAGCAUGCCUGGCACUCUGUUUCUGAAACUCAGCUACAGAAAUGCCACACUAUUUGUAGACUGCAGCAAAAGAUGCACGCUUGCUAUAUCCUAUAUCUGACAAGUAAGUGACUAAAAUGGACCCAUACGAAAAUAUGCCAUUCAACAGCUACUUAAGAGACGUGAUGCCUCACCAUCUCAUGAGAAAUUUCACGACACCUAUCUAAAACUCUUUUAGUUUCCUCAGCUGCUUUGGGUGAGUGAGGAGGGACCCACAAAUAUACCGUAUUUUUCGCCCUAUAAGACGCACCAGACCACAAGACGCACCUAGUUUUUGGAGGAGGAAAACAAGAAAAAAAAUAUUCUGAAUCUCAGAAGCCAGAACAGCAAGAGGGAUCGCUGCGCUUGCUGUUCUGGCUUCUGUGAUAGCUGCGCAGCCUGCAUUCGCUCCAUAAGACGCACACACAUUUCCCCUUACUUUUUAGGAGGGAAAAAGUGAGUCCUAUAGAGCAAAAAAUACGGUACUUAAAAGUAUAUGCGUGAAUGCAGCUUGUGUGUGAGGCACUAACUUGCAACAUCUGACUCCGCUUCAGACAAGCAUUUGAACCCUGGACAGUUCACAGACAUACAUCUAGACUCCUGUAGGGUUGCAGAAAAAAGCAGCUGAAAAGAGCUUCAGGAGCACAUACAAAUAUUGGCGGCGACAAUAUGGUUAAUUUACACAACCAUCUCUCACAGGGCCUUUGCUCAAAAUAACCCCGAAACCUGUUUUUCCCUUUUUUAAAAAAAGACAGCACCAAGGAGCUUCAUGGCAUAUAUUUACCUAUAGUAUGUUAUUUGCCCUCCAGUGUGAGUAAAACGUAUUUGCUGGUAUAUACUUUUGGACAUUAAUGAUGUUUGUCAUUGCCAAGCUUUAUAUAACAACCGUAGCAUUCAUAUGAGGGUUAUUCUCCCCUGUUCUUGAGUUGAUUUAGACCUUGCAUACAAACUCUUUAUCACCAUGCACGCUGAAUGGAAUGACUUUUUUUUAACAACAGCAAACAGUAAAAAUAUUAUUACGUUUCUAAAUCUUUAACCGCCAGCUAUUUUGGAUAACAUACGCAUUUAGAAAUUGUCCUAAUCUUACUGACCUGUCCUAUAUAAAAGAAUAAAAGGAGAUGCUGCCCUCUUCUAAAAGACAUGCAUUAGUACCUUUCAAGCACUAAAGCACAAUUGUGGUUGUUAUUUUUUUUAAAAAAAAUAAUAUUUAUUAGUAGUUUCAAAGUUGUAAAGAAAAAAGAAAAAUUAAAAAACAACACUAUAAUACAUAGGAAAAAAAGAAAGAAAAAAACACAAAAACCAAUACAACAAUACAACAAAAAGAUAAAAAGGAAAACAAAAGAAAAAAGAAAACAACAUAGAUCCCAAAUUACAUAUCUAUAACUUCCAUUUGCUUGUUUCAUUGACCUCCUCACACCUCCCUUUUUGUAUUCUAGUUUAAUUAGUUAUUUCAGCAAAUUCUUUCCAUCUUUCUCAAUUUUUGUUUAAAAAUUUAUCUUGACAGUUUAACUUAAUAAUUAGCUCAGCAAAUCCUUACCAUCUUUCCCCAUAUUCUGUUAUUCAAAUUACCUUAAUUUAUUUAACCUUAUCUUACCCUAAAAUACCUUAAAGCUUGAAUCUUAGUUUUCAAAUAUACAUAACUCCUGAUAUCAUUUCUGCUAGAGUCAUAUAGUUUCAUUCCAACAUUUUCCCUAAUAUUCAUUAAUUUUAAGCUAAUUCCCUAAAUAAAGUUUUCUUUAUAAAUUUUCUUCCAAUCUUCAUCCAACGUCUCAUCUUCCUGGUCUCGGAUCGUGUCAGUCCUUACUGUCCAAUCCAUCUAGUCCAUCAACCUGGAAGCCUUAUGUCCGAGGCCCUUAAGUCUCUUCCAUGGCCCUUCUGCAUUUCUUCUUCUUGUUGUUUAUACUUGCCCUUUUCCUUGUCUUUUGUUGGUCUCUUUCUUAAUUCCUUUCCUUUCUCAUUGAGGAGUAGUUCUCUGGGGGAUUCCAACCCAGAAUUGUCUCCAUCUCUCUUCCUCAAACCCAUCCAUUCCCCAAAGUCCCACUCCCCACAGUCCUCGAUAAAAUCCAAAAAGUAUUUAAAAACAUAUUUCAAGGUCUCUCCAAAGUUAGGAACCUCCUCAGCACCAGACUCCCCCUGGCCCAUUCCAACUUCAAUCUUCAGUGACAGCGGCUUAUGCUCCUGUAGGGCCUCAGGUCUCUCCAUUUGUAUUAUUUGAGGUGCAACCGCAUCCUCCUCCAUUAUCUUCUGUUCUUGUCCAGUCAGUACAGAUUCAUGAGUUGGUCCCUGAAUAGUUUCUAUAUCAAUGUUCCCUGUUUGUCCACAGUUAUUAACCACAACAGUCAAAUCCAUUUUUUCAUUCAUCAAGUCCAUCUUCUCAUGCAUCUGUUCCAACAGGGCACUUGUCUUGCAUAAGGCAAGCACCCAAUCUUCCUCCCAGCACAUCUUUAGGCAAGGUCAGAAAAGACUGUUCCCACGGUCUUAAUCUCACAGCUGUUGAGUCCUCAAGUAUACUGUGGCAACAAUUUAACAAGCUCCCUCUAGAGGAGACAAUUUCUAUUUGUAUCCAUUUUUUUUUUAAGGCAAGUCCAACAAAGGAAAAUUACUUUCAUUUUUCAGAUAUUUUUCAGAUAUUUUGUUUCUUUAAGAUGCAAAAGGCAACAUUGGAAUCAGCUUGUUUCUCUUCUUUAACUAUCUGUCAAAAUAUUCCAUUCACAGUCAAUGAACCUACAAUUUCUGUCUCUGACACCCCGUUCCCAGGUUAGAGACGGUGGAAACUUAUCCUUCUCACUCCCUCUCCUGCAGGGGUUAAACAACCCCCCCUUUUCUCCUGCUUCCAAGGGGGUUUCAGUAAUUCUGAAUGAAGGAAAUUUAGCCUUUUCUUUACAGCUUUCCAGGCGUUAGCAUACGAAGGUUUUGCUUUAGUCUAUAUACAAAAAGCGGAAGGCGGACUUCCUGUUUUGAACCUUCCCGCUUCGAUGCCAAAUUAAGAUAUUUCUUGAUCCAAUUUUCCGUUUCUACUCACGGGUACUUGUUUUAAAUCCAAUUGUCCACAGGAAAAAGUCAGCGCUCUCCGGCAAUGGCUGUGCGGCUUCACUCCGUGAAAGUAGCAGUCAGUUCGCAGCACCGCGCCGCUCACCCCGCUUUGAUCUGGUGCCCCAAAAAGGGGUUCCCGUUGAGUAGGGGGGCGUUUCUGGUGCCCUGCCAAACCCCACGUUCCCAGGCUUCCUCCACCUGGGAUUUCUAGCGGGUCCCCACCUUCGCCGCGGCGGGAAGACCCAGUUUCCACGGAGCCCAUUCCUCCGGUCGGAGGAACUCCGCCAUUCACCGAUGGCGCUGACCCGGAAGUCCCACAAUUGUGGUUGUUAUGAGCAUUGCAAAAUGUCAUCCAGCAGUGCUAUCCCUCUGUAGGGCUAGGGAAACACAUUGGGUUUCCUUCCAAUAGUGACAGAAGACAAUUGGGUCUGCUUCAGUGACUGCCACCUUUUUCUUUUAUAGUUCUGUGCAAAGAACUAUACAUAGCUACUUGCUUGUGACAAGAAAUAAGAGCUUCCAGGUGAUCAGGAAGCUUUACCAAACUGAAGCUGAGGGUAGCUGCACCAGUUGAAUUUCUACCUAUUAUGCAGGCAUUAGAGACAUGGAUUCUCUGUCAGGAAACGAGACAAAAAAAGUCAAAUAUAUUUGUUUUUAUAGAUUCAAUGAUUGAAUUAAUUCAAGUUUAUUUAUUUAAUUAAAUUAAAUUAAAUUAAUUGAAGUCCUGGAUUUUUAAGUAAGGACUCUUGUGAAUGGACUCAACACCCCCUCCAAAUAUAUAAUAGCAUAGUUACUAUCUUAACUAUGCAGAAGAGGAGUUUAUAAUUCACCACCACUCAACUGUGGUCUAAUAAAUGCCACAUAAAAUGAGCCAGUCCUAUGAUUCCCUACCUCUAUAAACAAAUAUUGUUUUAGGAAAGGAAUUCUGUAUCAUUAAUUUGUGCAAAACAUUUGAUUCCCAAUAACUUACAAAGGAUCUCAGAGUAACACCUUUCUGUUAAUAUUUACAGGAAACUAAGCCAGAUCAGGAAACUAAGGACAGAUCGUGAAGCUGAGGCUCCAAUACUUUGACCACCUCAUGAGAAGAGAAGACUGCCUGGAAAAGACCCUGAUGUUGGGAAAGAUGGAGGGCACAAGGAGAAGGGGACAACAGAGGACGAGAUGGUUGGACAGUGUUCUCGAAGCUACCAGCAUGAGUUUGACCAAACUGUGGGAGGCAGUGGAAGACAGAAGUGCCUGGCGUGCUCUGGUCCAUGGGGUCACGAAGAGUCGGACACGACUAAACAACAACAAAAAGCCUCAUCAAACCCUGAAGGGCUUGCUUCCAAGUAAAUGUGCAUAGGAUCAGGCUCCAAGUCCAAAUAAAAACUAGGCAUCACCACUGCAGGGGUGUAACUUGCAUAUUCCUGCAACCACAACAUGUCACAGUAUCAAUUUAC